CGCGUAUAGAACCUACCUUUUACAGAGGAAUAGCCUUUAGAAAUGAAGAUUAAUGCCUCAUAGUAUUGUAGACUGGCAUCAGUUUAUAAUUAAAGAUUUAUCGGUAAAAGAUGGCUAUGCGUCCUAUUAGUUAGUUGGUAAGGUAACGGCUUACCAAGACAGCGAUAGGUAGGGGUCCUGAGAGGGAGAUCCCCCACACUGGUACUGAGACACGGACCAGACUCCUACGGGAGGCAGCAGUGAGGAAUAUUGGACAAUGGAGGAGACUCUGAUCCAGCCAUGCCGCGUGUAGGAAGAAUGCCCUAUGGGUUGUAAACUACUUUUAUACAGGAAGAAACACUGGUAUGUAUACCUGCUUGACGGUAC
rnacentral:rRNA from 1 species